rnacentral:rRNA from 1 species
UACAGAGGGGGCAAGCGUUGUUCGGAAUUAUUGGGCGUAAAGGGUGCGUAGGCGGUGCGGUAAGUCUUCUGUGAAAUCUACGGGCUUAACUCAUAGUCUGCAGGAGAAACUGCCGUGCUUGAGUAUGGGAGAGGUGAGUGGAAUUCCUGGUGUAGCGGUGAAAUGCGUAGAUAUCAGGAGGAACACCUGUGGCGAAGGCGGCCAUCUGGACCGGCACUGACGCUGAGGCGCGAAAGCGUGGGGAGCAAACAGG